GCAAGUUGGAUGAGCGGGGAUUAAGACUUAAAUGUUCACAAUUUUUCAAUUGUGGCCGUGUGGGCCCCACAAACACAAGGCAAAAAUCAGAUUUUUGCCCAUGCUCAGUUGGGGGAACGUGCAAGACCCCUUGGGCAGAAAAAUAUCCAACUUUGUUGACCAAAAGUUGCAUGCCAACUCAUUUUCCCCAAUGCCACAAAUUGAACAAGAGAGAGAAGCUCUCAUCUUCUCCAACUAGAGAAAGAGAGCCACGGCUAUGGCAGCUCCUCCACCACCAAAAAAAAUCAGUUUUCUUCCUCAAAUCAACUCCUCAUCUAGUGUACAAGAACGUGUAGUAGUUGUUGGAAAGAAACAAGGGGGUGUAGCACCUCAAUAGGGUUGAAGAUUCGGCCAAAGUGAAGAACAAGUUGUAAGGAUAAGUACCAUUGGGCAGCAAGUACAAGUUAUUAUACGACUAAACGCUAAAGGUACAGACGUUCAUUUCGGAGAUCCGCCAGCUUAGGACACUUAUUCAGCUAUUUUGACUGCUCCUUUGUUCCGGAGCCUAGCUUGUGGUAUAACUCCCUUAUGUUGAAUUCAUAUGAGUUUAUUUGGGUACGGCGGGGCCCUGUCCCGCCAUAUGAUACGGUCAUUACUCUUAGAGGUCUGUGGACAUUUGUGUGGGUCUGUUUAUGGUUGUUGACGCGUUUUAUGAUUAUGACAUAUGUUUGGGGCGUACCCAUUCGUAAUGGCAGCCUUGUCGGCUUGCAUAUAUAUGUAUGUUUGGUAUGUUGCAUAUCGUGGCAGCCUUGUCGGCUUGCGUAGAAAAAUAUAUGUUGUUGUUUAAAAAUUGUAACUCCUCAGGAGACAGGUGCCUACG